GAAGGGGGCGAGCGUUGUUCGGAAUNACUGGGCGUAAAGGGUGUGUAGGCGGUNAUGUAAGAUAGCGGUGAAAUCCCGGGGCNUAACCUCGGAAUAGCCGUUAUAACUAUGUAGCUAGAGUNAUGGAGAGGAUAGCGGAAUACCCAGUGUAGAGGUGAAAUUCGUAGAUAUUGGGUAGAACACCGGUGGCGAAGGCGGCUAUCUGGCCAUAUACUGACGCUGAGGCACGAAAGCAUGGGGAUCAAACAGGAUUAGAUACCCUGGUAGUCCAUGCUGUAAACGAUGAAUGCUGGUUGUCGGCUUUAGGGUCGGUGACGAAGUUAACGCGAUAAGCAUUCCGCCUGGGGAGU
rnacentral:rRNA from 1 species